rnacentral:rRNA from 1 species
UUGAAAAAAUUGAUUAAGUCUUCGAUCGAUUAGUAUUCGUCAGCUCCACGUGUCACCACGCUUCCACCUCGAACCUAUUAACCUCAUCAUCUCUGAGGGAUCUUAUAACCGAAGUUGGGAAAUCUCAUCUUGAGGGGGGCUUCAUGCUUAGAUGCUUUCAGCACUUAUCCCGUCCAUACAUAGCUACCCA